CAUGUGGAUGCUAGGAUUUGAACCCAGGUCUUCUGGAAGAACAGCCAGUGUUCUUAACCGGUGAUCCUGUCAGAAACUAUGCUGUUUGUGAAGUGAUACAUUGAGCCCUGCUGGUCCAGUGAGGUUAAUAGACAAUUAGGCUACGUUUGGUUUUCAAAUCAUGGUAAAAUCCUGGGUCUUGGACAUACUAAGCAAUUACUCUGCUAUUGAACUACGCUUCUGGCUCUAUGGAAGAUAACUGAAAAGUGUUUUAGGGUUCACCAUAUGUGAUGAGUGAGUGACCUCAAAAGAGAAGAGGAGGAGACUCCUCUCAGUGAUAAGGUAACACAGUAAGGAUUCAGAGGAUUUAAUGCUUCCAUUGGCAUCUCAAAAGGAGAUAUGGACAAAGGAAUAGGUAUCGCACUCAAUAGGUUUGACCAGAGUGAUUAUUCAGGAGGAUCUUCAUCUGUACAAUCUUGGGUUUUCUAUCAUGAAUUUCCCUUUGCUGUUGGGGAAGACCAGAACCUAUGCAGAAAGAUGGCACCAAGGACUUGAAAGGCAAAGCAUACAAGAAGAAAGUCAUGAGCUAUCUGACAUCCAGAUCUUGCUUCCUUUCCUGCUCAGGCACCUGUGUGGAUAUAAUUUGAGGAGUGGCAGGCAAAGCAGAUGGAGAUGGAGACUAUGAAAUGCCAUAGCCAAGUAACAAAGGCUUGACAUUUUCAAUGGAUAUUUGACCUGGAAGCUUUCGAGGAUGAUGGUGAUUUUCAUGAGUGAGCUUAAGAGUUAAUUGCUUGUUCCCUUUUGGAAUAAAAGGAAAAACUGGAGAGUUUAUAAUAUCCAUUUUUCCCCUUAAGGAACACACCCUGAGUUUUUAUAAGCCUAUAACUUUUCAAAGUGUUACCACUUGUAAGAGGUACCUCCUUUGUGAGUAGAGAUUUCUGUUUACCCACUUGGCAAACCCCAGAAUAAUGUUCAUAAGUUAGAAUUCUGAUUCACUGAUAGGUGUCAAAAGUCUCAAGGAAAGGAAAUAGCACACAUAGAGUGGAUGGAGUGGAUCUAGGCAUCCCCAGAUCUACUGUAGCUAUGGAAUGUCAAUUUUUGAAUCUAUACUUGUCGUUCACAAGGGCAUGAUGGUAGAUACACAUUACAAGAAAGAACUGCUCUGGAGAAGGAUUAUAAAAUAUUCUUUCAUGGAAGAGCUUAGAAGCAUACUCCCAAUUUCACAUAGUGGAUUGUAAUGGUUGUUUCCACUAUGUACUUACCUGGCACAAGAACUUAAAGAGUUCAUGUUCUUGGAGUGAUGUUGCCACCCUCUCAAUUUGGCAGGUGUUGAUCACCAUUGGGUCCAGUACCUGAAGGAGCAAGACAGCUAGCCCCCAGUGAACAACAGUGUGCCCUAUUGAUUGAAGACAAGUGAAAAAAGUUACAAAUUUGGCUCAAUUUGACUGGGCAUUUUUUUAAUAAGAGAUUUUUUUCCUUUAUAAAAAUAACAUCAACUUUUAAAUAGUAAAGAACAUGUAUUUUCUAAGCCAGGAAGUAAUAGCUUGUAACAUCUGAGUACAUCGCCCCUUUAGUAAUGUACAUAAUAUUAUUUUAUAACAAAAUUGACAUCUCAUUUAUAUAUCAUUUUAUUCUCUGUUGAUUUUUCAUUUAAAAAUUAAAAAGUGUACUCCAUAUAAUGUUCUUUGAUAACACUACAUAGAACAUGGACUUCACAAAAUUUAUUUGGAUAAUAUAAUAAUACUGUACACUUUUACGUUGUCCUUUUUUUAUAAAAUGUAAUGUAAUGAACAUUGUACAUUAAUCUUUGUAUUUCUUUCUUGAGAUUAAGCUCCUACAUGUUGAAAUUAUUUUGUUUGAAGGACUCUCAGGGCAUCAUAAUAGUGCUGUUGAUUUAUUCUCAACAUAGUUGCAAAGUUAUAUUCCUACCAGUAGUGAAUAAAUGUGAAUAGUUCUUUAAAUAAUUAAAAUAUGACCCUUUUCUGUGCAGAUCUACUUGAUAGGUAGAAAUGUGUCCUUGUUGUUUUAAAAUUAUUUUGAAUUUACAUACAGUUAGAGUAACUCUGAUGUGUUCUACGGAUUUUGAAAAAUAUAUGUCAUGUGUAUUCAAUUCAUGCAGAACUGUUUUAUGACUUUAUAAUUAUUCUUAAUAGCUCUGUUGUUGUUGGGGUGGUGGUGGGUUUUUUUGUUGUUUUUUGUUUUGUUUUGUUUUGUUUUCUCAUGAGGGUCCAUGUUUCCCUAUCUGACUUUGAACUUGACAUCCCUCCUGCCUCAGCCUCUUAAGUCUGUGCCAGUUGGUCUUUUAUAUUCAAUCCCUUUUUUACCCCAACUCCCGAAAAUAACUAAGGAGUAAUUGGCUAAGGUUUUGACUUCCAAAAUGUCAAAUAAAUGGAAUCAUGCAUAUGUAAACUUUUUAUACUGGCUUCUUUCACUUCCUAAAUGUAUUUAAAAUGCACUUACUUACAUGCAUCAUAAGAUUAUUCCUUUGUAUUUCUGAGUAGUAUUUGUUGUGUGGAGGGAAUACAAAUUAUGUUUCAUUCACUAAUCGUUGAAUAUGUGUGUUAUUUCUACUUAAGAUACAAACAAGUUUUCUAUAUGCUCUUACGGUAUAAGUUUUUUUGUGAUACAAAUGUUUAUUUCUGUACAAUAAGUAGCUAAGAGUAGAAAUGAGCACCAAAAUACUUUUUCAAAUGUUUUAUGCAUUCUCCCACAAAUACAGAGGUCCAGUGGUUGGACGUUUGUGAUGUCAGCCAUCAUAGUCUGGGUUUGUAGGUCCUUGAGAACACAGUGCAUUGAGUAUAUUUUCCAUCAAAAUUUCUUCUGUCUUUGGUUCCCAUUUUUAUUGGUUUGUUCCUUUUUCUAUUGUCGCAAAUUAUGUUAUUUGGAAAUAUGUUCUUCUGCCUAUGGCUUGUCUUUUCAUGCUUUUAGCAGUCUUUUUCAAAGCAAAGUUUUCAAUUUUU